UAAUACAGAGGUCCCAAGCGUUGUUCGGAUUCACUGGGCGUAAAGGGUGCGUAGGCGGUUAAGUAAGUCUGACGUGAAAUCUCCGAGCCUAACUCGGAAACUGCGUUGGAAACUAUUUGACUAGAGGAGUGGAGGGGAGACUGGAAUACUUGGUGUAGCAGUGAAAUGCGUAGAUAUCAAGUGGAACACCAGUGGCGAAGGCGAGUCUCUGGACAUUUCCUGACGCUGAGGCACGAAAGCCAGGGGAGCAAACGGG
rnacentral:rRNA from 1 species